UACAGAGGUGGCUAGCGUUGUUCGGAAUUACUGGGCGUAAAGGGAGCGCAGGCGGCCAGGCAAGUCUGAAGUGCAAGCCCGGGGCUCAACCCCGGAUCGCUUUGGAAACUGCCAGGCUUGAGUAUGUCAGAGGUGAGCGGAAUUCCAGGUGUAGCGGUGAAAUGCGUAGAUAUCUGGAGGAACAUCCGUGGCGAAGGCGGCUCACUGGGACACAACUGACGCUGAGGCUCGAAAGCGUGGGGAGCGAACGGGAUUAGAUACCCGGGUAGU
rnacentral:rRNA from 1 species